UACGUAGGGACCGAGCGUUGUCCGGAAUCAUUGGGCGUAAAGAGCGUGUAGGCGGCUAUUUAAGUCCUGCGUGAAAUCCUGCGGCUCAACCGCAGACGGUCGUGGGAAACUGGAUGGCUAGAGUGCGGGAGAGGAGAGUGGAAUUCCCGGUGUAGCGGUGAAAUGCGCAGAUAUCGGGAGGAACACCAGUGGCGAAGGCGGUUGCCUGGAGCUUUGCUGACGCUGAUGCGCGAAAGCGUGGGGAGCGAGUCCGG
rnacentral:rRNA from 1 species